UGCCCCCUAGUUUAAUGGCAGAACGACUGACUCUGGAUCAGUUGGUUGGGGUUCGAAUCCCUGGGGGGCAGCCA
rnacentral:tRNA from 2 species